rnacentral:rRNA from 1 species
CUACGGGUGGCAGCAGUCGAGAAUCAUUCACCAUGGGGGAAAACCUGAUGGUGCGACGCCGCGUGGGGGAAUGAAGGUCUUCGGAUCGUAAACCCCUGUCAUGUGGGAGCAAAUAAAAAAGAUAGUACCACAAGAGGAAGAGACGGCUAACUCUGUGCCAGCAGCCGCGGUAAUACAGAGGUCUCAAGCGUUGUGCGGAAGCACUGGGGGUAAAGCGUGCGUAGGCGGUUUCGUAAGUGGUGGGUGAAAGGCGCGGGCUCAACCCGCGGACGGCACAUGAUACUGCGCUACUAGAGUAAAGGAGGGGGAACCGGAAUUCUCGGUGUAGCAGUGAAAUGCGUAGAUAUCGGGAGGAACACUCGUGGCGAAGGCGGGUUCCUGGACAUUAACUGACGCUGAGGCACGAAGGCCAGGGGAGCGAAAGGGAUUAGAUACCCGGGUAGUC